rnacentral:rRNA from 1 species
GAUGAACGCUGGCGGCGUGCCUAAUACAUGCAAGUCGAGCGAACAGACGAGGAGCUUGCUCCUCUGACGUUAGCGGCGGACGGGUGAGUAACACGUGGAUAACCUACCUAUAAGACUGGGAUAACUUCGGGAAACCGGAGCUAAUACCGGAUAAUAUAUUGAACCGCAUGGUUCAAUAGUGAAAGACGGUUUUGCUGUCACUUAUAGAUGGAUCCGCGCCGCAUUAGCUAGUUGGUAAGGUAACGGCUUACCAAGGCGACGAUGCGUAGCCGACCUGAGAGGGUGAUCGGCCACACUGGAACUGAGACACGGUCCAGACUCCUACGGGAGGCAGCAGUAGGGAAUCUUACGCAAAGGGCGAAAGCCUGACGGAGCAACGCCGCGUGAGUGAUGAAGGUCUUCGGAUCGUAAAACUCUGUUAUUAGGGAAGAACAAAUGUGUAAGUAACUAUGCACGUCUUGACGGUACCUAAUCAGAAAGCCACGGCUAACUACGUG